AACGUAGGAGACGAACGUUAUCCGGAGUUACUGGGCGUAAAGGGCGUGUAGGCGUUUGUUAAGUCUGGCGUGAAAGCUCUCGGCUAAACCGGGAGAGGUCUUGGAUACUGGCAGACUAGAGGACGGUAGAGGCGUGUGGAAUUCCGGUGGAGUGGUGAAAUGCGUAGAGAUCCGGAGGAACACCAGAGGCGAAGGCGGCCUACUGGGCUGCACCUGACGCUGAGCCGCGAAAGCUAGGGAGCGAACGGG
rnacentral:rRNA from 1 species